GCAGGACAGAGAUAGAGAGAGACCCAGUGAAGACCUUUGAAGAUCUCUGAAGAAGUGAAGCUACAACUGAAGACUUCAGAAGGAGACGAUCACCAUGGCAACAUUGACCAUCCUUCUGCUUGUCAGCACAGCUUUUGCUCUGGGAGAUGCUACGAUCCGAUCCAAGACCCCCUGUGAGCGUGCUAGAGAUGAUGUGAUACAUGGCCUAAUUGAAGCCUUCAUCCCCACGUGUGACGCCGCUGGACAAUACACCCCUGAGCAAUG